UAAUAUGAAAGAACAUUUUCUAAUUUAAUUUCGACUUAAACUUAUGAUUAAAUUAAUUAAUCCAUAUUAA
rnacentral:tRNA from 1 species